UGCGUAGGUGGCUUUGUAUGUCGGGCGUAAAAUCCCACCGCUCAACGGUGGAACGCCGCCCGAAACUGCAGGGCUCGAGUGCAGGAGAGGAGAGCGGAAUUCUUGGUGUAGCGGUGGAAUGCGUUGAUAUCAAGAAGAACACCAGUGGCGUAGGCGGCUCUCUGGAAUGCAACUGACACUGAGGCACGAAAGCGUGGGGAGCAAACA
rnacentral:rRNA from 1 species